CUCCCGAUGCAGCCUGCAUCCCCAGACUAGAGUGGCCCCAGCUGAUGGUCAGAUCUGUGGUCUUGCUCCCAGGGAUAGGUUGCUGGCAUGAGAUGCAGCAUGGGAGCCUAGGAAUUAGCACAGUCGCUGGGCAAAGGCACAGCCACGGGACCCAAAAGGCCCCCAGCACUGGGGAAGCAGCUCUUUGACCCAACACACAGCACUUCCAGUUUAAAAAAUUUUUAAUGUCUGUUUCCCUCCUUGGUCCCUGACAUUCCUAUAAAAUGGAGAGAGCUUCCCGGAAUUCUCCUCUUCCUAGCCUGUUGUUUUCAGUUUUGAUUCUAUUUUUAAAUAAGUGAAACCUAAGAAGAGCUCCACCCCUCCUCGUUGGUUUGACAACAAUAACCUGCUGCCCGGCUGCCUUUGCAGCAGUGAGACUUGGACAGGACCCCGGCAAGAUGCAGGCCCUGGGGGGCCCCAGUCCCGGGCAGACGUGCGUGCUGAUCCUGAUCUUUACAGUGCUCCUGCAGUCCCUCUGCGUGGCCGUGACUUACAUGUACUUCACCAGGGAGCUGAAGCAGGUCAGUACCAUGCACACGGUCCCUGACAGAGGCUCUCAGCCACCCCGGGGUUAACUGCCUCUGUGUCGUCUUCUGUGAAGAAUUUACAGUAGGGAAAAAAAAGUUCCCUCUCUCUGCCUGUGGACCCUAACUGCUAAUGCAUGUGAAUACUGAGGACCUUGCAGACGUGUGAGUUGAAAGGAUUGUGUGAUCAGCGUGCAGUUACAGAGCUGGCUCGACCGGCUACUAGCAGACGCAGGAACAAAACUCCUAACCUGGUUUGUUUUUUCUCUUCAACAGCAUGAGCAUUUUAUAAUACUAGCAAUUGAACUAAAGCAGGCACCAAGUCUUAGAAUGUCAUCAGGUUUAUCUUUUUCCUCCAGGAUACGGGGUGGGGUGUAAGUCCAAUCUUUGAAACAUGUUUUGGUUUGAGAUCUGUGGCAUUUCUGUGUUGACAAUAGGGAGGAUAUGAAGGACUGGCAUUCGUCUAUUCCCUAGCCGCAGACGUGUCAUGCAUAAAGUCUGUAAUAAAGUCUGUUACCAGAUGGACUCCACAUUUUAUGUUCAUGAUAAAAUAAUGGAAAAUAAAACGAUGGUUCUAUAUCUGUGGGUGGUCCAAGUAUGAAUGCAGGUACAUUUGACAGAGGGGGGGAAAAAACUUUGUGCCAUUUUAGUUCCUGCAUUUCUCAACUAUAUAAAACUUUUGGAACUAUGAAUGCAAAAUGGCCGAAAAUACACCAAGUUAGCUUUGGGCUUCUAAUGUAUGUUUUGACUAAUUGUGUAUUAUAUAGUAGAGAACUGUGAGCUGGAAGGAACUUUGGAUAUCCCCCUCCCUCCAUUUUAUAGAUGAGGAGCCUAGAGACCCCCAGACAAAAUGACAUAGCUCAGACAGGGCUUUGGAAGCGGAGCUGAAGUCAGUUCUUUGGGCACCUAAAUAACACUCCUUCCUCCACAACAGGGUGUCCACAAGGCUGACAUGUUUGCACCCUUGGAUGCACACUGCAUCCUGCUACAUUAUGAUAAAGCAACAUUGCAUCUACCAGCUGGCUAGGAAAUGCAAGUAGAAGGGUCUCAGAAAAAUAUAAAUUAUCCAAAUGCCAUAGAGUGAGUAUCUGUUAAGGAAAUGCAGUUUGUAUACCCUGUGGAGUAUACAUUUGCUUAUCUCAAAUGGUUGCAAAUUUUUCCUUUGGAUUUGGAUGACGUAGACUCUUGUUUGAUUUGCAAGUAAUUAUGAAAAUUAGGGGCUACCCUUAGAUGACCCGUGAGGUCAGCUUUGCUCUAGGGCAGACUCAGAAGAGUCUGGAUAUUUGUAACUAAAACAUCAGUGUAACUAUAAACAUGCCUCUAGUUCUAAGUCUACCUUAGAAGCUGGAAUACUGCUGUGUUUAUGAAAUCGGAGCUAGCCUGUCCUAACCUUUGUUAACUUUGCAGGAUACACAGAACGAGUCUGUCUCUUUAUUACGCAAGUCAUUCCCUCAGUUUGCUGACAUUACAAGUUGGUCUAAUUUUUUUUUUU